rnacentral:rRNA from 1 species
UGAGGUACCGUCAUUUGCUUCUUCCCUGAUGAAAGAAGUUUACAACCCGAAGGCCUUCUUCCUUCACGCGGCGUUGCUGGGUCAGGGUUUCCCCCAUUGCCCAAUAUUCCCCACUGCUGCCUCCCGUAGGAGUCUGGACCGUCUCUCAGUUCCAAUGUGGCCGUUCGACCUCUCAGUCCGGCUACCGAUCGCAGUCUUGGUAGGCCAUUACCCCACCAACUAACUAAUCGGGCGCGAGGCCAUCU